rnacentral:lncRNA from 1 species
GGAAGGACUGAUGCUGAACCUGAAGCUCCAAUACUUUGGCCUCCUGAUGUGAAGAGCCGACUCAUUGGAAAAGACCCUGAUGCUGGGAAAGAUUGAGGGCAGGAGGAGAAGGGGCCAACAGAUGAGAUGGUUGGAUGGCAACACUGACUCAAUGGACAUGAGUUUGAGCAAACUCCAGGAGAUGGUGAAGGACAGGGAAGCCUGGCGUUCUGCAGUUCAUGGGGCCACAAAGAGUCAGACAUGACUUAGCAACUGAAAAACAACAACAACAGUAUGUUCAAUUAUAGAGAUAAGGAGAAAGAUCAUUUUCCCUUAAAAGACAAAGAAGUGAAUAAAUGCACUUGUUCACUUCAUGAUGGAGAGGAGGCCUGUUGGAGGCUACCUUAAUUUGAACGGCCAAGGAAGUCUUUGUGAGGAAAGCAUUGUCAGGAGCCGGUUGCACCAGCCUCUGCUCCGUCCCCUUCUAGCUCUCAUCCUUGGGAUGUGGGCUCAAAUCUAGGCCCAGGAACUGGGCAGGGAGCAGAUGCUGCAUCAUCCCCUCCAUCAGUCUUCUUCCUUUUCCUUCUUUCUCCUUCUGCCAGUUACAAGAUACUCACUUCUGGUGCAUGAAUAUGGAUGGGUACAAAAGGGAUGAUCCAGGGGUGGGGCAAUGGAAGAAGACGAGCUCAUCUUCACUGACAGUGUCGAAGCCCCAGUUGAGUCACAUGCCGUGACAUUUCUUAAUGUUUCACCCAACCUGGGGACUGUCUACCUAAAUCUAAUGUUGUGGUCAUUUUGGUCUCAGGAAACUCAAAAGUCUUUUCAAGCGUGCAGCAGACUUGUGAUUUCAUACCAAUCAUGCCCGAUUGAUGCUUUUGAACUGUGGUACUGGAGAAGACUCUUGAGAGUCACUUGGACAGCAAGGAGAUCAAACCAGUCAAAUCUAAAGGAAAUCAACUCUGAAUGUUCAUUUGAAGGUCUGAUGCUGAAGCUGAAGCUCCAAAAGUUUGGCUAUCUGAUGCAAAGAGCCAACUCUUUGGAAAAGACCCUGAUGCUGGGAAAGAUUGAAGGCAGGAGGAGAAGGGGAUGACAGAGGAUGAGAUGGUUGGAUGACAUCGCUGACUUAAUGGACAUAAGUUUGAGCAAGCUCUGGGUGAUGGUGAAGGACAGGGAAGCCUGGGAUACUGCAGUCCAUGGGGUCGUAAAGAGUUGGACACAACUUAGUAACUGAACAGCAACAAAUACCUGAUUCAUGUCACCUCCGCCACUAGAGACUAAGCUCUGUGGCAUCUGGGACUGUGGCCAUUUCUGCUGACCACUGCACACCCAGCCUUAACCCAGGGCCUGCCAUGCAGUGGGUACAUAUACUGGCUAAUGCUUGUUGAAUGAGUAAACCAUCGAAUCAAUAAAAAAAUAUUCUCCUUCUUUGUACUUCCCUUUAGGCAUAAACAAAAUCAGUUUCAGUUGUUGGAGAAAAACAAAGUCCUUGUCCAGGCACACGGUCCACUGCAUGGAAAAUAUGGGGUCACUCUUCCUAAGAGGCAACUCUCUUUUCCCUGCAAGUUGAUUAUUUGUUCGUUUUGCUAGAGACAGUCCUGCCUUGGAGACAGUGAUGCUCAUGGUGAGCAUGGGGUGGGAAGGUUGGCUGAGGAGGAGCACAUGAAGUGAGUUGAACUGUAUCUCUGCAUCACAGUUUUGUGUGUGUAUGUGUGUGUAAGCGUGU